GAGACAUCCACAGUUUUACUAUGCACUGAU
rnacentral:piRNA from 1 species